rnacentral:piRNA from 1 species
UGAAAUAAAUUUUUCUGAGGUUUUUGGUAG